rnacentral:rRNA from 1 species
UCUCCAGACUCCUACGGGAGGCAGCAGUGGGGAAUAUUGCACAAUGGGCGAAAGCCUGAUGCAGCAACGCCGCGUGAAGGAAGAAGGCCUUCGGGUCGUAAACUUCUGUCCUUGGGGAAGAAGAACUGACGGUACCCAAGGAGGAAGCCCCGGCUAACUACGUGCCAGCAGCCGCGGUAAUACGUAGGUGGCAAGCGUUGUCCGGAUUUACUGGGUGUAAAGGGCGUGCAGCCGGAGAGACAAGUCAGAUGUGAAAUCCACGGGCUCAACCCGUGAACUGCAUUUGAAACUGUUUCCCUUGAGUGUCGGAGAGGUAAUCGGAAUUCCUUGGGUAGCGGUGAAAUGCGGAGAUAUAAGGAAGAACACCAGUGGCGAAGGCGGAUUACUGGACGAUAACUGACGGUGAGGCGCGAAAGCGUGGGGAGCAAACAGGAUUAGAUACCCCAGUAA